GCAAUUUUUGAGGAAGGUGUAGCCUACAGUAUGCUGGUAAGCUCAUGUUGUGUGUCCUGCACUUCCUCCAUCGCAAUGUUUAGGUCAGCUGCGACUCUCUUAAAAAGUUCCUGAAAAGGGAUGAAAUCUUCAGUAGUUGCCGAGGGCAAUGGCAUGAUAGCCUCGUCUGUCACAGAUGAUCGAGCUGCCCGGACCCUGCUGGGACAACACCGCUUUCAACUCCCUGGCGGACCUGCGGGAGAACUACUGAGGAAUGAUGAGCUGAGGACGGGAUGAAGGAACUGAGGGAAAGGUGGCUGUGCAUGUGUGACAGUGCCAGAUGGUGCCGUGCACCUCACAUGCUGUGCAUGCAUGACCCUCAAUGCACUGCUAGGAAGAAUCUGCUCUGCAGCGCUGGUACACACAGACACCUGCUGUGGAGCACCCCCAGGGACAUCUCUCUCUCGAAGAAACAGUGAAGCCAUUAGUUUUGCCAGUGCUAAUUUAAAUCACCAGGGUAAUAGGAUUCUCUCCUUGGGAUAUAACUGAUCCAGACCCUUCAGAAAUCUGAUAAUCACUCUUGUUUCUCCAUCCAUAUGUUAAUCAAGGGGUAAAAAACCAAGAUAGCUGAUAGUGGAACCCUGGCAAGACUAAGGGUAAGACCUCGCUGUUUCAGGCAUAACAAAUAGUCUAGCAUGUGUUGUAUUGAAAACCCCUAACUGGACCUGACAGAGAGACUUUCAUUUCAACAGUUAAAACUACCUAGUCUAAGGCUUCAAGAUGAUACUUUGUACCUCCUUUGAACAGAUCUCCUCCUGAGGUGUUGACCAUGGAGUAUCCAGGCUCUAUGAAGGACCACCUCUAUAGCUGUGGCCGUAUAAUAUCAGAUAUGGGUCUUGUGGUAGUGUCAGUGAAGUUGAGAGGCUCAGUAGUGGAAAAGCAAUACACAGCAAUACAAAGCAAUAUCACUCAAACAUGGUUCUGCUUGAUUUUUAACAACACUGUGUAGGAGCAGAAACAGAGGAUAUGUUGUACAUGAGUUGGUAUUUCCAGGGAAACAGGAAAGCACCCA